UAUGGUUCUUAUACACCCAAAUAAAACUUGUAACAAUAGAAUCAACUUUUUAAAAAAAUGGGGGGAUAUAUCGGGAUUGAUUGGAAACGGUGUAGUAAUUGCGGGAGAAAAAUCAUUUGUAUGGCAUUGAUUCUACCGAGCAUUGAGAUGGGAAGUGUUUUCCAAUAUUGAAUAUUCUUAUUUAAUUUAUUCAGUAAGGGUGGGAAAUUUAGUUUAAAUAAAGAG